UAGCAAGCACCAGGACAA
rnacentral:misc_RNA from 1 species